CAUUAAAAAUUUCAUCCAUUUCUACUGUUAAAAACUAAUGUGACUGACAAAAUAACUAGACAGUUACGCGUCACAAGGACUAAUUUUUAAUGGUAGAAAUUAAUGAAAUUUUUAAUA
rfam:Gossypium raimondii Chr11_contig_1364, whole genome shotgun sequence.